rnacentral:rRNA from 1 species
AUUGAACGCUGGCGGCAGGCCUAACACAUGCAAGUCGAACGAGUGGCGGACGGGUGAGUAAUGUCUGGGAAACUGCCUGAUGGAGGGGGAUAACUACUGGAAACGGUAGCUAAUACCGCAUACCAUCGGAUGUGCCCAUAUGGGAUUAGCGCGUAGGUGGGGUAACGGCUCACCUAGGCGACGAUCCCUAGCUGGUCUGAGAGGCUGACCAGCCACACUGGAACUGAGAAACGGUCCUGACUCCUACGGGAGGCAGCAGUGGGGAAUUUUGCACAAUGGGGGCAAGCCUGAUGCAGCCAUGCCGCGUGUGUGAAGAAGGCCUUCGGGUUGUAAAGCACUUUCAGCGGGGAGGCGUUACCCGCAGAAGAAGCACCGGCUAACUCCGUGCCAGCCGCCGCGGUAAUAC